rnacentral:rRNA from 1 species
CCUUUGUACACACCGCCCGUCGCUACUACCGAUUGAAUGGCUCAGUGAGGCUUUCGGACUGGCCCAGAGAGGUGGGCAACUACCACUCAGGGCCGAAAACUUGGUCAAACUUGGUCAUUUAGAGG